UAAUGGGGGGGCGGGGGGCUAGCUUCCAUGCAAACUGGUAAAACGGAUCUGUCAGAUCUCAUCUCCGGGUUGGUGCUCCUAUAAAAUUGUCGGAGCCUCAGAUCCGUUAACAUGUGUUUUUAAAAACUAAUUUCGGGGCUGCAUUUACUCUUUCUUUCACGAGCGCUGUGUAGCCUCGGUGUUUUACAGCAGGUCUGGGCUGGACAGGUGACAGGUGUGUUUACAGUGUCUGUGCUCUGAAAGACAUUACAGCAGGAAAGGGGUGAAAAGUAGCGGGUCCCUCUUUUGAAAUUGAUUGGAGCUUUCUGCAUAACUUGCACCUGACUGAGUUAAUAAUGGGAUACCAGAAUCCAACUAAGUCCACACCUUACCCCACAACCAGCAAUAAAUGUUCUCUCUUGAGGAGGGUGGGAAGGUGACAGCUAGAGGUCAGCCUUCAGCUCUUAUUUUCUUCUGCAGCGAACGGGAGACGCCUGAAAUGCAGCACACAAAACACUGACAGUGUUUAAGUCCCAGCUGGAGCGGAGCCAUCGUUAAUGUCAUCAUCCACACCUGUGUGUUUCUGGCACAUCGUACGCAGACGUGUUACUCCAGUCAAGACAAGGCUGAAGAGGCUCCGUCUCUCCCUGUACGGCUGACGAGUUAAAGAAAGCAUUUCCUGUUUCGGUGGAAGCUCCGACCUGAGCCAGCAGACGCUGCGAACAGCGAGACUGUGGAGGUCAAAAGUUGAACGAAGACGAACGCGCAUUCCCGAAUUUCAUGGCCCAGUGAGGGAGGUGUGUGAGCGCCAGGUCAACUGUGAACAUCAGGUAUUAAUAAUGCAGGACAGGAAGCAGCCCCUCCGACUGCCGAGCUGUGCACUCUGACUCUGCAUCCCCGCACCCCACCCCACCACUACAAGCUGCAUAACCCGACACAGAGGAGGAGGAGAGCUACAGAGGUGUGUGCAGGGGGAGGAAAACCUGCCGGAACGGCAUCCGGCGAUGUGGUGAAACAGGCUCUAACGAUGAAAAAGUGUUGGGCAAGAGCACAGUGUAUUGGGUGUGUUGUGUCUGGAGCCCUGAGCUUGGAGAUGCUCCACUAUGACGCUCCUCUGAGCCUUUGUGGCUGCUCCUCUCUCGCAGAGAAGAGCAGGAAGGGGAGAGGAAAUAAGGAGAGAUGAGAUCAGAGGAAGCAAGGAGAUGAAAGGAGAGGACAGGAGGCAAAGAUGGUACAUGAAACAAGACAAUGAAAGGAGAGAAGAGAGGAGACGAGGAGAGGGAAAUGAGUGAAAACAAGGAGAGGAGAUCAGAGAAAAGAAAUACAAAGAGGAGAAGAGAGGAGAACAUGAAGGACGGGGUGGAGACGAAGUUGUUAGUUUGACUUCACAUCAUCUAUGAAUAUUACAUGAGUCGCAUUAUAACAGCGACGCGGCUCCUGCGAGCCUCGGCCUUGAGUGUGUGACCCACAAAUUGACCGUCAACUUGUUGCUCCAUGCAGCACAAAUUACCCAUCAGAGUUAUUUAUUGAGGCACAUCCAGGUGAAGGCCGCUGUCACAACCCACCAAGGCCGAGGCGCGUCCUCUUCGUGGCGAGGCCGAGGCGGCGUGAAGACUCCGGUCCGCAGUCACAGGUGAAUCCAGUGUCGUCCAGGGCGUUUUGUCAGCGCUCUCACCUCAGACUGUGUGUUUUACUGGAUGUGUGGGAUGGGAUCGCUCACCCAGUCAGAUUUGUAUGAACAAAAAACUAUCAAAAGACACGUCUCUGUUUAUGGGAAAUAAAAGAUGAAGAGUCGACGUCUUUUCACCCCAGAAGAAGUUUCCCUGUGGUUGUAUAAGUUGAUGGUGGAUGCUGUUUGUAAGGUGUGAACACUACUGAGGCUGUAAUCCAUCUUUUACUUUCAGUUCUGUGAUGCUGCUGUGAUUAAAGGAACACCACCGCCGCAACCACUACAUUAUUCAAUUAAUUCAAUAGCAAAACACAUUCAAUUUUAUUCAUGUAAACGGCAAUAAAUCAACUUGUCAGAUAAUUUUCUUGAGGCUAUUUUUGCAAAAGUAACUCCAAACAAUUGCAGCUGCUUCUUUGGAGCACGGAGAACAUGAACAGGUCUCCGUCUGCAAGGAGAAGCUAAAGGAGCAUUUCUAAUUAUAAAGUUAAUCAAUGCAACAUGGACCCACGUAAACAGCAUAAAAUGGAAGUUAAAAUGAUUCAUUUGAUUUUAAUAGUUGAAGUUUAAGGAUUUGAUACUCAUCCUUUAAAUGACAAGUUUAGUUUGUAAGUGUGAAACAUCUCCUGACAGCCUCCGAUCAGAUGCAAAAACGUUUCAUAACUAACGUUACUGCUUGAACAAGGCAAGAGCGAACGUAUGAUACUUUUAUAAGACUCUGCCAUUUUUCUGGGAUUGAAUUAAAUACUUUUAAAGUCAUUUGAAGACCUGCAGAUCGUAGGUGUGCCUCACCUUUCUAAUCUACUGUAAAAAUGAAUUCAGAUAACACACACAGUCACACACACUAGCGUCAAACAAACUGGAGACAUCAUCAGGAAGUGACUGUUAACCGCAGUUUCCGAAGUCGGCUCCAUCUAGGUCCAUUUCCUGAUAAUCUGUUCAGCCCCAUCUCAGGUUUUAAUUUGACAGUAGUAGGUCAUGUAUAACUUUUCAGAGCCAUGACGUCCUCUAAUCCUUGCUUGUGUGCAAGUGUCUAUAUGUGCGUGCGGGACGUUCACUCACCACGUAAGUGUUUCAUUCAGUCUGAGCCCAAAGAGGAUUUAGAAAACAGCAUGUGCAUCCCCCCUUGUCAAUUAGCUAACAUGUUGAUGUCAGCAUGGUCAGUAUAAUCCCUCUCUUAAUGUACUGUAAUAACCCCCUCCCUCCUCGGCUCUCCUUCAGUGAGAUGCUCACACACACAGCAGCUCCUGAGGGAAGCAGCCACACAACAACAUGACAGGAUGCUGCAUUAGCUCAGCCGUCAUAACAGCAUUACCAGGGGCUGAAUGAAACUCUCCAGGGCUUUGGAAGAGACAACUUUCUGACCCGGCGAACGGCUCUGAUAAACAAGUAUUGGAUUCAGUGUUAAUUGAGAUGCCUUUCAUAUUCAUACAAAACUUCCUCUCGUCGUUGUCUUUUAAUUUGAUUUAAAUUUCAUCUAACAGAAUCAGAUCUAUAAUGACUGUUUGCUGGAGAGAAAUAGUCAAAAUAGUAAAAGCAG